CCCCGACUACGGGGGCUGGUUUCCGAUUACAGUUAGGAAGCUCCCAACCAGGCUCCAGAACAACAAGCGCAGUGAACUGGAGGCCUCCCUCCCGGGGCUGAUCCCUGACCGGCCCCCGCCCUGCAGGACACCAGGCCCUCCUGUCUCUGCCCCUCUGGCCCAGGUGCCCCUCCGCUCUGGACAAAGGGUCACUCCAUGGGGAACCGGAUUCUGAAAUUCCUGUGCCGGCACCUCUUGCUGCAACCGUCACGCUUGGUUUCGUCUCCAGGGGCGACCAUGGCAAGUCGGCCCCAUCCUGGAGGAAAAGUGCUGCGCCGUGGGUGCUGGCGACCGCCGAGGGAGCAGGAGGCAGUUGGCUUUGAUGUCAGGCAUGAUGAUGUGGGACACAAAGGCAGAAGAGAAAUUAUUACUACCUGCAGCCCCUGGACAAGUCCUUGAAACAGGCAGAGCGACAUUCCUCUAGGGACUCAAGAGCCUGGAUGUUGACACUUCGCUUAGGACAAAAGGCAAUCUUAGCCUGAUCUCCAGGAUCCUGGGAUCUUCAAGAAGCACGUUCUUCCUGGAACACACCCGUAUGGGCUGCUCAGGCUGCGGUCCUCUAGCCUGUGGCUACCCCACAGGGAGGAGAAAGUCUGCCUUUUGCCUGAAGUUAGUACUUGGCUGGAAUGGUGAUAAGAUACCUGGCACUCUCUUUAUUCCUGUCCUUAUACAACGUUGUUGUCUUGGGCACGGGACAGCCACCUCAGUCACCAGGAUGGUGGGUAAUCUUAACUCCCGUGUGAGGUUUCCUCCUGAUUGGUUUAGUGUGAUCCCCUUCACAGCCCUGGUCUGGCCACAUCUCAACAAGGGAAGCCCCUGGGAGCUGGCCAAAACCAGUACCUGAUUGACUGACAACCCAACCAGGAUAUUUCCCACGGAAGUUUGCAGUGAAGACUUCCGAGAAUGUCGGGGCGCCUGGGUGGCUCAGUGGGUUAAGCCUCUGCCUUCGGCUCAGGUCAUGAUCUCAGGGUCCUGGGAUGGAGUCCCGCAUCGGGCUCUCUGCUCAGCGGGGAGCCUGCUUCCUCCUCUCUCUCUGCCUGC